GGAUGUGAGGGUGAUCUGGAUGUGACAUCUGUUAUAUUAUUUAUUGCCAGGGUUUAUUCAGUUGACCUGAUUGGCUAGGUAAAUGUCCCCUUCUUUCCUCACCCCUCCGUGUGCAUUCCUCCCAAUAGCUGCACACUUUAACCUUCCCUUACCAAAAAGGACUGUUCUUCAAUCAAGGGUAUAUGAGCAGCUGUUCUAGAACCUCUACAUAAGCUCUCAAGAGAUUGAAAUGUACUGCUUUGUAAAGUCUUGGGACUACUAUCUAAUAUGUUUUCCUGAAGCCUAGUUAAAAU
rnacentral:snRNA from 1 species